rnacentral:rRNA from 1 species
AUUGAACGCUGGCGGCAGGCCUAACACAUGCCAGUCGAACGGUAACAGGAAGAAGCUUGCUUCUUUGCUGACGAGUGGCGGACGGGUGAGUAAUGUCUGGGAAACUGCCUGAUGGAGGGGGAUAACUACUGGAAACGGUAGCUAAUACCGCGUAACGUCGCAAGACCAAAGAGGGGGACCUUCGGGCCUCUUGCCAUCGGAUGUGCCCAGAUGGGAUUAGCUAGUAGGUGGGGUAACGGCUCACCUAGGCGACGAUCCCUAGCUGGUCUGAGAGGAUGACCAGCCACACUGGAACUGAGACACGGUCCAGACUCCUACGGGAGGCAGCAGUGGGGAAUAUUGCACAAUGGGCGCAAGCCUGAUGCAGCCAUGCCGCGUGUAUGAAGAAGGCCUUCGGGUUGUAAAGUACUUUCAGCGGGGAGGAAGGGAGUAAAGUUAAUACCUUUGCUCAUUGACGUUACCCGCAGAAGAAGCACCGGCUAACUCCGUG